UAAAGCCUGAAUGUUCUUUAGCUGCAUCAGACUUUCACCAUGGACAGAUCUGUGCUGCUCCUCCUGUUCAGUUUGCAGAUUUUCCUGCUCAUCACUGCCUUCAGCUCUGCAGAUGCAGCCGCUCUGGUGACCAGUGACCUACAAAAACAGCAGACUUCGGAUCUGGGAACAAUCACGGAUGUGAGAAGACAAAGAGCCACAGGACAAAGAUAUGGGUGUGGCAAUUUCAUAGGAGGAUGUUCAGUUAUCACUGCGGUUAAACCAACACACCCACCUGCACUGAAAGCUGUGCUGGAAUAAUUGAACGGAAGAAACCAAAAGGAGAUAAGAUCGCAGUCCAGCAGACAAAUCAAUAAAGUGCAACCAUGUCUUCACUUCAAAACUUUCUCUCUUCAAUAGAACUUGUUGUUUUGACCAUUUCAUGUUAUGAUGAAAUAAAUUACAGUAAUACUAGGCUUUAAAUCCACAUAACGAUGUUAAGGGCCAAUUAUCUUCAUUCUGUUAGUGGAAAAUGUUCAGCAGCUGAACUGUUAGUAAAAUGUCAGACAGACAGUCAUUUUCUAUAUUGCUUCUUCCAUGGUGGGUCGCAGGGAAGCUGGUGCUUAUCUCCAGCAGUCUAUGGGCGAGAGGUACACCCUGGACAGGAGUCCAUCACAGGGCAACACACAAACAACCAUGCACACACUCAUUAUAAUGUCUUCCUGUCUGUAUCACAGAUGUUGUAUGGGAUUUCAAUCACUUUCAAACCAUGUGGGAAUGUUCCAGGAAAGAGAUUUUUUUGGCACAGACUUAGUUGAACAAAUGAGGUUUUCAUUUUAAUCAGGCCCAUAUCAAAUAUCACAGAUCUGUGCAGGAUCAGGAGGCAUCUUAUGAGGAAUAUAGAAGAAAUCCCUGUUGAUCUUUAAACUAACCUAUCUUUACAGACUUCCAGACAACACAUAUAUAGUCCAGCGUCUUACAUCCUAAGCCAGAGCCUAGUCAAACUCAGGCUCUGGCUUAGAAAUGUGCUCAAAGCCCAACCUGAUGCCUUAGGACCUAUUAUCAGACACUAAACAGGUUAAAACAACAACAAAUCCACCACUGAAAUUUAUGGUGAUUUUUUUAUAUUGUUUUUCAAAAUGUAACCUUAUCUCUCUACUAACAAUCCAGACGACAGAACCAAUACUGUGGAACUUUAUUUUCAAUUUAUUAUUUUCUGUUUCUACUAAAAACUUUGCUAUUAAAAACUUUGCUAUUUUGCAUUUAGCUCUAUAAAAUAAGAUUAAAGGCUAGUAGUCUGCAGUUUGCUUGUGGAAAAUGUAUUGAUCAGAAUUUAAAAAUGCUACAAAUUUGGCCAAUCUGCAAAGUCAGUUAAUGACAAUAGCGAAGUUUUCACAAAAAAAAAAUAUGGUGCAAUUCUCACUGAUGUGAAGCUUUUCAAAAAAGAUGCAAACAAACCAACACUAUCUAAAAAUCCUGUUUUUAAUUUCAUAGCGAACAGUUAAUAUCCAGUCACUGAAUAUAAAGCAGACUUGGGUGCACCCAUUAUUAAGCUUUGCUAAAUAAAGCCAGCUGUUUUGCAGAAAAGUAACCCACCCUGAGAAUUGCAUUCCAGACCAAGAAAACAGAAAACUGACCUAAAAAUUUGUGCACUCUAUAUCUUUCUUCUAACAGGGCUUCAAUGGUUUUGUCGAUGUCAUCACAAUAUUGGCAUUUAGUUUUUUUGUGGAGCAGGUGUCUGAACACCUCUGUGUUGUAUAGACUCUUAUAUGAUAAUUCUUUGUGUUAUUUCUGCAUCAUCUUCUUAGGGCUUCUUCCUUUGUGAAAUUUCAUUGACUUAACAAAUCAAAUAAAAAACUCACCCAUUUAGUAACUCUGGAAAAGUUCAUAAGAAAAUGUAUUCUUGAAUAAAUGAUUCUGUAAUUGA